rnacentral:rRNA from 1 species
UACGAAGGGGGCUAGCGUUGCUCGGAAUUACUGGGCGUAAAGGGCGCGUAGGCGGAUGAUUAAGUCGAGGGUGAAAGCCCGGGGCUCAACCUCGGAACUGCCUUUGAUACUGGUCAUCUUGAGUACGGGAGAGGUGUGUGGAACUCCGAGUGUAGAGGUGAAAUUCGUAGAUAUUCGGAAGAACACCAGUGGCGAAGGCGACUACCUGGUCUGGCAUUGACGCUCAUGUGCGAAAGCGUGGGGAGCAAACAGG